rnacentral:rRNA from 1 species
GCUUUACUAUAACUUGAAAUUGGGUCCGGGCUUCGCUUGCGCAGGAUAGGUGGGAGAGGUUGAAGUACCCCUUGUGGGGGNGUAUGGAGUCAACAGUGAGAUACCACUCUGGCGAGGCUAGAAUUCUAACCUUAACCCCUCAANNNCGGGGAAAGAGACAGUUUCAGGCGGGUAGUUUGACUGGGGCGGUCGCCUCCUAAAAGAUAACGGAGGCGCGCAAAGGUUCCCUCAGGCUGGUUGGAAAUCAGCCAAAGAGUGCAAAGGCAGNAAGGGAGCUUGACUGGGAGACUGACAAGUCGNAACAGGGACGAAAGUCNGGCCUUAGUGAUCCGACGGCACCNGUGUGGAAGGGCCGUCGCUCACCGGAUAAAAGUUA